UACGUAGGGUGCGAGCGUUGUCCGGAAUUAUUGGGCGUAAAGAGCUCGUAGGCGGUUUGUCGCGUCGACUGUGAAAACCUGGGGCUUAACUCUGGGCCUGCAGUUGAUACGGGCAGACUUGAGUUCGGUAGGGGAGACUGGAAUUCCCGGUGUAGCGGUGAAAUGCGCAGAUAUCAGGAGGAACACCGGUGGCGAAGGCGGGUCUCUGGGCCGAUACUGACGCUGAGGAGCGAAAGCGUGGGGAGCGAACAGG
rnacentral:rRNA from 1 species